rnacentral:rRNA from 1 species
UACGGGGGGAGCAAGCGUUGUUCGGAUUUACUGGGCGUAAAGGGCGCGUAGGCGGCCACCGCAAGUCGACUGUGAAAUCUCCGGGCUUAACUCGGAAGGUCAGCCGAUACUGCGGGGCUAGAGUGCAGAAGGGGCAACUGGAAUUCUCGGUGUAGCGGUGAAAUGCGUAGAUAUCGAGAGGAACACCUGCGGCGAAGGCGGGUUGCUGGGCUGACACUGACGCUGAUUGUGCGAAAGCUAGGGGAGCGAACGGG